rnacentral:rRNA from 1 species
UACGUAGGGUGCAAGCGUUAAUCGGAAUUACUGGGCGUAAAGCGCACGCAGGCGGUCUGUCAAGUCGGAUGUGAAAUCCCUGGGCUCAACCUGGGAACUGCAUUCGAAACUGGCAGGCUAGAGUCUUGUAGAGGGGGGUAGAAUUCCAGGUGUAGCGGUGAAAUGCGUAGAGAUCUGGAGGAAUACCGGUGGCGAAGGCGGCCCCCUGGACAAAGACUGACGCUCAGGUGCGAAAGCGUGGGGCGCAAACAGG